rnacentral:rRNA from 1 species
AGCAGCCGCGGUAAUUCCAGCUCCAAUAGCGUAUAUUAAAGUUGUUGCAGUUAAAAAGCUCGUAGUUGAAUUUCGGGGUUAGUAGGUUGGUCAUGCCUCUGGUAUGUACUGGUCUCACUGAUUCCUCCUUCCUGAUGAGCCGUAAUGCCAUUAAUUUGGUGUUGCGGGGAAUUUGGACUGUUACUUUGAAAAAAUUAGAGUGUUUAAAGCAAGCUAACGCUUGAAUACAUUAGCAUGGAAUAAUGAAAUAGGACGUUCGAUCCUAUUUUGUUGGUUUCUAGGAUUGACGUAAUGAUUAAUAGGGAUAGUUGGGGGCAUUAGUAUUCAAUUGUCAGAGGUGAAAUUCUUGGAUUUAUUGAAGACUAACUACUGCGAAAGCAUUUGCCAAGGAUGUUUUCAUUAAUCAAGAACGAAAGUUAGGGGAUCGAAGACGAUCAGAUACCGUCGUAGUCUUAACCAUAAACUAUGCCGACUAGGGAUCGGAUGAUGUUUAUUUUUAAAUGACUCA